rnacentral:tRNA from 1 species
GGUGAUAUAGCUCAGCCGGCUAGAGCGAUGCACUCAUAAUGCAUAGGUCCCUGGUUCGAGUCCAGGUAUCACCACCA